CCUACGGGCGGCAGCAGUGAGGAAUAUUGGUCAAUGGACGAGAGUCUGAACCAGCCAAGUAGCGUGAAGGAUGACUGCCCUAUGGGUUGUAAACUUCUUUUAUAUGGGAAUAAAAUGUUCCACGUGUGGGAUUUUGUAUGUCCCAUAUGAAUAAGGAUCGGCUAACUCCGUGCCAGCAGCCGCGGUAAUACGGAGGAUCCGAGCGUUAUCCGGAUUUAUUGGGUUUAAAGGGAGCGUAGGUGGAUUGUUAAGUCAGUUGUGAAAGUUAGGGGCUCAACCGUGAAAUUGCAGUUGAAACUGGCAGUCUUGAGUACAGUAGAGGUGGGCGGAAUUCGUGGUGUAGCGGUGAAAUGCUUAGAUAUCACGAAGAACUCCGAUUGCGAAGGCAGUUCACUGGACUGCAACUGACGCUGAGGCUCGAAAGUGUGGGUAUCAAACAGGAUUAGAUACCCUUGUAGUC
rnacentral:rRNA from 1 species